UAACGACUCUCGGCAACGGAUAUCUCGGCUCUCGCAUCGAUGAAGAACGUAGCGAAAUGCGAUACUUGGUGUGAAUUGCAGAAUCCCGUGAACCAUCGAGUCUUUGAACGCAAGUUGCGCCCGACGCCUUCUGGCCGAGGGCACGCCUGCCUGGGCGUCACGC
rnacentral:rRNA from 1 species